rnacentral:tRNA from 1 species
GCGGCCUUAGCUUAACGGUGAAAGCCCUCGGCUGUGAACCGAGAAGAUACGAGUUCGAGUCUCGUCGGUCGCC